rfam:Dipodomys ordii contig_53216, whole genome shotgun sequence.
GGUGGCUCAGUGGUUAAGAGUGCUUGCCUGACAUGCAUGAGGCCCUGGGUUUGAUUCCUCAGCACCA